CACUCCUACGGGAGGCAGCAGUGGGGAAUAUUGCACAAUGGGCGCAAGCCUGAUGCAGCCAUGCCGCGUGUAUGAAGAAGGCCUUCGGGUUGUAAAGUACUUUCAGCGGGGAGGAAGGCGAUAAGGUUAAUAACCUUGUCGAUUGACGUUACCCGCAGAAGAAGCACCGGCUAACUCCGUGCCAGCAGCCGCGGUAAUACGGAGGGUGCAAGCGUUAAUCGGAAUUACUGGGCGUAAAGCGCACGCAGGCGGUCUGUCAAGUCGGAUGUGAAAUCCCCAGGCUCAAACUGGGAACUGCAUUCGAAACUGGCAGGCUAGAGUCUUGUAGAGGGGGGUAGAAUUCCAGGUGUAGCGGUGAAAUGCGUAGAGAUCUGGAGGAAUACCGGUGGCGAAGGCGGCCCCCUGGACAAAGACUGACGCUCAGGUGCGAAAGCGUGGGGAGCAAACAGGAUUAGAAACCCCAGUAGUCCCAUG
rnacentral:rRNA from 1 species